AUACGGAGGGUGCAAGCGUUACUCGGAAUCACUGGGCGUAAAGCGCGCGCAGGCGGUCUUUUAAGUUGGAUGUGAAAGCCUACGGCUCAACCGUAGAACUGCAUCCAAAACUAUUAGACUAGAGUGUGGGAGAGGAAGACGGAAUUAGUUGUGUAGGGGUAAAAUCCGUAGAGAUAACUAGGAAUACCAAAAGCGAAGGCAAUCUUCUGGAACACUACUGACGCUGAGGCGCGAAAGCGUGGGGAGCAAACAGGAUUAGAAACCCUAGUAGUCC
rnacentral:rRNA from 1 species